rnacentral:tRNA from 1 species
GUGUCGGUAGCUCAGCGGCAGAGUGGGGACGGAAUCCCCGUGAGGUGAGUUCGACUCUCACCCGACACA